UGAUUAUCAUCAGUUGAUGUUCUACUUUUCCCUAAUCUUGCCAACAUGUCAUUUUCGUACCAAUACUAAAUUAUUUAUCUAAAACUUUGAAGUCUUUAUUUAAACAAGCAGCGUAAUAAAAAUACAGCAUUUAACAGGUGUGAGAACUUUUGUUAUCUCCAUAGAUCAAGAAGAUCAGUAAUAAAUGUUGAAAUGUUGGGUGUCGACUAGUGUUGAGUGUCGCUAGGGAGAACGAUCAUAAGUCUCGUACACGUGAGAGCACAUAUUCAUGUAGACAUGUAGGAUUGUACCGUGUAUAGUUGACAGGUUAAAACAGAACCUUGUUCACACUUAAAUCGGAACAUUCGGAACUACCAACGAUGUCUUUUACACGAGCCUCUAUGGGAAUGAUUGGCUUAGAAUUGGCAAAUGAAGUUAUGAAUAACAGUGCAUAACACAACGACAGUGAUUUGGUGAGCAUGCUGUCAUGGAUGGAAAUAUUACAAGAUAAAAAAUCAAAUAUGUAAGAUCCCCAGAACAAAAUAAAACCUAAGUAAAUAACAUUUUAAAAGUAAAGUCUAGAUGUUGAAGAGAAAAGUGGCGUUAAUGGCUAGCGUUGAUGGAAAACAGGUUUAAGUAACGAUGACGCAAGCAAGCUUAAUGGAAUACUAGUUUUUACUAACGAAAAUGCAGUUGAAAGUAUUAUUUUAUAAUGUGUCAAAUAUGCACAUUAAUUACGUUAAAUAUGAUUGACAAAAACAUUUUGAGUAGGUAUUAAUAUAAGUUUAAUCUACUUAUAUUUUUAUUAUUAUUGUACUAACGCUAUGUUUAGUACCUUGCAAGUUAAUUCAGUUGUAGGCUACUUAUUACAAAUGCUAUUUCCCAUAUGUAGCUUACAUUUUAUUAUAACAAUAAAACAUUAAAAUUAAGUCAUUCUAAAUAUUAAAUUACACACAGUAUUGGUUGAAAUUUUAGUAUGAGUCUAAUGUUUAGUCUGAAAUUAGUCUGAAAUGUUACUUUUCAAAUAGUAUACAGUGACUGAGCCAGUUAUCGUAAAUUCUCAUUUUGUAUCAGAUCUAAUUUUGUUAAAUACAUAAUAAUACUAUGUUUCAGUGUGCAUGAGUCACAACACUACCGGUGCAAACAAACAAAGUAUGUCUUUAUUACUAUAUAGCUAAGUUCUGUUGGUGGUUUCGUAUGUACUGCACUAACUAAACAAGUCAGUGCGUUAGGCACAUACAUAUGCAUAUCUAAAUGUAUAUCUGAUAUCUAUAUGCAUGCAUAUGUAUGUCUGAAAUGUUGUCUGAAACGGACCCUUUUGUAAUUGAGAAUCAAUUACUUAGUGUCGAUGCACUUAGUCUACUGAGUCACAUUUCUAACUUUUUCUGCUAUAUGAUUUCGAUUACUAUUCCAAUAUGUCUAGAUAAUCUGUGUGCUUAUUUGUACUAGAUAUAUUUUCACGAUAGUAUUUUAGUAUGUAUUAAAAUUUUCGGCGAGAAUAUUUAAUGUUUCUUGCUGCAAUAUUGUAUCGCUGGUGAUUUGAAAUCCAUUGUUUUUAUGAAAUAAGUUAAAAAUACGGUUAGGUUGCGAAUUAAAAGUUUUAAAUAACUAACUUUUGGCUGAUUUUCAUGUAUAUUUUAUAUAUUUCAAAUACCUUUUGAUGGGCUAAAAUUUUUCUUAGGUCACUCAGGUAUAUAAGUUAUCUAAGAAUAGUUAUAAAUAGGCAUCUACGCAUAUAAUAUAAAGAAGAUUAUAUAAAGAAAAAUUGUAGAUGUCUUAUUAAAUAUUAAUUUUAUUAACUUAUUUGUUUGUUAAUUAUAGUAGUAUAUUUUGAUUUGCAAUUUUUUUUUAUCAAUGUAACAUGUAAUCUUAUGAUUUCCGAGUAAUUAAAGUGUAAAUUUUAAAAUAAAAAAUUGUAUAUAAUUAUAAAAAAAAAUCGAAUUC